GCAAUAAAUUGUCCUUUAAUUGGGGAAAUGAAUGAAGGGGUUGACGAGGGGGAAGCUGUCUUUUUAAUAUAGUUCGAAGUUUUCUUUUAUGUGAAAAGACUUAGAUUUUACAAUAAGAAGAGAAGACCCCGGCGAGCUUGUUAAGGUUUAAUAACGUUUAUUAAUUAUUGAUUUUUGUUGGGGCAACGCAAAGGGAAAAAAACUCCUUUGUAUUAAAUAAGGAUCCACUCAGAGUGAAUCAAGCAAAAGCUACCGUGGGGAUAACAGCGCAAUUUUUUCAGAGAGUUCAUAUCGAAGAGAAAGCUU
rnacentral:rRNA from 1 species